GAUGAACGCUGGCGGCGUGCCUAAUACAUGCAAGUCGAGCGAACAGACGAGGAGCUUGCUCCUCUGACGUUAGCGGCGGACGGGUGAGUAACACGUGGAUAACCUACCUAUAAGACUGGGAUAACUUCGGGAAACCGGAGCUAAUACCGGAUAACAUGUUGAACCGCAUGGUUCAACAGUGAAAGACGGUCUUGCUGUCACUUAUAGAUGGAUCCGCGCCGCAUUAGCUAGUUGGUAAGGUAACGGCUUACCAAGGCAACGAUGCGUAGCCGACCUGAGAGGGUGAUCGGCCACACUGGAAUUGAGACACGGUCCAGACUCCUACGGGAGGCAGCAGUAGGGAAUCUUCCGCAAUGGGCGAAAGCCUGACGGAGCAACGCCGCGUGAGUGAAGAAGGUCUUCGGAUCGUAAAACUCUGUUAUUAGGGAAGAACAAAUGUGUAAGUAACUAUGCACGUCUUGACGGUACCUAAUCAGAAAGCCACGGCUAACUACGUG
rnacentral:rRNA from 1 species